GACGGUGGAUGCAAGUGUUAUCCGGAAUAAUUGGGCGUAAAGCGUCUGUAGGUGGUUUACCAAGUCUGUUGUUAAAAAUCAGGGCUUAACCCUGAUCCGGCAACAGAAACUAGUAGGCUGGAGUACGGUAGGGGCAGAGGGAAUUCUCGGUGUAGUGGUGAAAUACGUAGAUAUCGAGAAGAACACCAAUAGCGAAAGCACUCUGCUGGGCCGAAACUGACAUUGAGAGACGAAAGCUAGGGGAGCGAAAGGG
rnacentral:rRNA from 1 species